rnacentral:rRNA from 1 species
AUUGAACGCUGGCGGCAGGCCUAACACAUGCAAGUCGAACGAGUGGCGGACGGGUGAGUAAUGUCUGGGAAACUGCCUGAUGGAGGGGGAUAACUACUGGAAACGGUAGCUAAUACCGCAUACCCUCGGAUGUGCCCAGAUGGGAUUAGGUAGUAGGUGGGGUAACGGCUCACCAAGGCGACGAUCCCUAGCUGGUCUGAGAGGAUGACCAGCCACACUGGAACUGAGACACGGUGCAGACUCCUACGGGAGGCAUGAGUGGGGAAUAUUGCACAAUGGAGGCAAGCCUGAUGCAGCGAUGCCGCGUGUAGGAAGAAGGUCUGCGGGUUGUAAAGUACUUUCAGCGGGGAGGCGUUACCCGCAGAAGAAGCACCGGCUAACUCCGAGCCAGCGGCGGCGGUAAUUC